CAGCAAGAGAGACAACUCCAAACCUCGCUGACUGUGUCCCUCUGAGCCCCACAUCAUUCCUGUGCCACAGACAUGGGUGCCUUUUCUAUCCCAUGAAGACCUGUGUGAAAAUUACUGAGAAAUGAAGUGCCCAGCUUGCUUCUGGAGGAGUAAUAUGCUGUCGCUAGAACCUCAGGCAGACCAUUACUUGAAUGAAGAGACUGAGCACAGUGCCUGAGCUGCUACAUUUACGUCCUUGAAAAACAGGCAGAAACUGAUCCUGGUUUGGUUAUCCAGUUCGGAGCUAGUUCUUAACACUGACCAUAAGUCCAAGUUGGCUUGCAUGGUGGUGUCUCAUCAGGAACCUUUGCCAGCAGCUCUCUAAGGACAAGAAAUUUGCCUCCAGCUCUUUUCUAACCAGAUGGCAGCCCGAGUCGGAAGACCGGAGCAGUCCGCAGAAGCCCCUGCCUUGGGCAGAGGAAGAGUCCCACCAGCUGCAGGCUCCUGCUGCAUUUCUGCCUGCGUUGCAGAGCCAGGGACCUUGGCUAGUCAACACCUGACAAUCUCCCCUUUGGGAGAGGUGGCAGUGCCUGAUCUCAGAGGGAGUUUGGGACCCCUGCCUCCAGGGAGACAGUGUCCUGGUCUGGUAGGAACUGCGCCUCCACUUUGUGAUCCCAGUCUGGGCAUGAUUCCCCCAAGAAACCCAGGUGGAUGCAAUGGCCAAGCUAUGGACUGAAAGUUAUGGAUUAGCAGGGGAAAAUGUAUGAAUUCUCUGCCAUAAAUAGCAGCAGCCACCAAAAUACAUCCAAACCAGAAAGCCUAGCUGAAUGAAAAUCAGAGAUUUGGGGGGAUGUGCAUUGGCUGGAACACCUG
ensembl:lncRNA